AGGAGCUGGCAAGCUAUUGUUCAUAUAGACCAAUAAACUCAGCUAAGUUAGGCAAGGCUAAAACGUAAUGAGCAAGGGAAUUGUGUGCUGAGCAAGAACAAGCUCCCUAUAAAACCAAGACCCAACCUUCUUUUUCAUUUUCUUGGUUCAGUUGCAAUCCUUCCUCAUACCAAAUCAUAUGAGCUCAUUAAUUUCCCAAGGAAGAUGGCUUAGAUAUUAAAGGAAAAGAGGAAUAUAGUUUUCACAAGUAUUGGAUCAAAUUGCAGCAGGAAAAACUAUCUAGAAUCAUCAAUCAAAAGGU
rnacentral:lncRNA from 1 species